AACAAACGCUGGCGGCGUGCCUAAUACAUGCAAGUCGAACGGGGAAAGUAGCAAUAUGAGUACUAGUGGCGCACGGGUGAGUAACGCGUGGAUAAUCUGCCUUGAAGAGGGGGAUAACUAGUCGAAAGAUUAGCUAAUACCGCAUAAGACCACAAGAACUGAGGUUCAAGGGGUCAAAGGUUUUUCGCUUCAAGAUGAGUCCGCGUAAGAUUAGCUAGUUGGUGAGGUAAUGGCUCACCAAGGCAACGAUCUUUAACUGGUCUGAGAGGAUGAUCAGUCACACUGGAACUGAGACACGGUCCAGACUCCUACGGGAGGCAGCAGUAGGGAAUAUUGCACAAUGGAGGAAACUCUGAUGCAGCGACGCCGCGUGAGUGAUGAAGGCCUUCGGGUCGUAAAGCUCUGUCGCAGGGGAAUAACACAAUGAAUGUACCCUGUAAGAAAGGAUCGGCUAACUUCGU
rnacentral:rRNA from 1 species